AGAGUUUGAUCCUGGCUCAGGAUGAACGCUAGCGGCAGGCUUAACACAUGCAAGUCGAGGGGCAGCGCGGGAUAGCAAUAUCCUGGCGGCGACCGGCGGAAGGGUGCGUAACGCGUGAGCGACAUGCCCGUUGCCCGGGGACAACCGGUGGAAACGCCGACUAAUCCCCGAUGGGAUACGAUGCUUCGUGGCAUUGUAUUGAAAGUUACGGCGGCGACGGAUUGGCUCGCGUCCGAUUAGCUUGUUGGCGGGGUAACGGCCCACCAAGGCUACGAUCGGUAGGGGUUCUGAGAGGAAGGCCCCCCACAAUGGGACUGAGACACGGCCCAUACUCCUACGGGAGGCAGCAGUGAGGAAUAUUGGUCAAUGGGCGGAAGCCUGAACCAGCCAUGCCGCGUGCGGGAAGGAGGCCCUAUGGGCUGUGAACCGCUUUUGCCUGGGGGCAAUAAGGGCGUCGCGCACGUCCGAUGAGAGUACCAGGCGAAUAAGCAUCGGCUAACUCCGUGCCAGCAGCCGCGGUAAUACGGGGGAUGCGAGCGUUAUCCGGAUUCAUUGGGUUUAAAGGGUGCGUAGGCUGUGCGUCAAGUCGGGGGUGAAAUUCCGGUGCUCAACACCGGGGCUGCCCUUGAUACUGUCGCGCUGGAGUGCGGAUGCCGCCGGAGGAAUGAGUGGUGUAGCGGUGAAAUGCUUAGAUAUCACUCAGAACACCGAUUGCGAAGGCAUCUGGCGAAUCCGUAACUGACGCUGAGGCACGAAAGCGUGGGGAUAGAACAGGAUUAGAUACCCUGGUAUCCCACGCCGUAAACGAUGAUGGCUAACCGCCGGCGACACACUGUCGGUGGCCAAGCGAAAGCAUUAAGCAUCCCACCUGGGGAGUACGCCGGCAACGGUGAAACUCAAAGGAAUUGACGGGGGCCCGCACAAGCGGAGGAACAUGUGGUUUAAUUCGAUGAUACGCGAGGAACCUUACCCGGGCUUGAAUUGCAGAGGAAGGAUUUGGAGACAAUGACGCCCUUCGGGGCCUCUGUGAAGGUGCUGCAUGGUUGUCGUCAGCUCGUGCCGUGAGGUGUCGGCUUAAGUGCCAUAACGAGCGCAACCCCUCCCCUUAGUUGCCAUCAGGUUAAGCUGGGCACUCUGGGGACACUGCCACCGUAAGGUGUGAGGAAGGUGGGGAUGACGUCAAAUCAGCACGGCCCUUACGUCCGGGGCUACACACGUGUUACAAUGGCAGGUACAGAGAGACGGUCCCUUGCAAAACGGAUCAAAUCCUUAAAGCCUGUCUCAGUUCGGACUGGGGUCUGCAACUCGACCCCACGAAGCUGGAUUCGCUAGUAAUCGCGCAUCAGCCAUGGCGCGGUGAAUACGUUCCCGGGCCUUGUACACACCGCCCGUCAAGCCAUGAAAGCCGGGGGCGCCUAAAGUCCGUGACCGUAAGGAGCGGCCUAGGGCGAAACUGGUAAUUGGGGCUAAGUCGUAACAAGGUA
rnacentral:rRNA from 1 species